CCUACGGGUGGCAGCAGUGAGGACUCUUGGUCAAUGGGCGAGAGCCUGAACCCGCCAAGUCGCGUGAGGGAGUACUGCCCUAUGGGUUGUCAACCUCUUUUGUCGGGGAGCAAAAGCCGGACGUGUCCGGCUGUGCGAGUACCCGCAGAAAAAGCCUCGGCUAACUCCGGGCCAGCAGCCGCGGUAAUACGGAGGGUGCGAGCGUUAUCCGGAUUUUUUGGGUUUAAAGGGUGCGCAGGCGGAUUUUUAAGUCAGCGGUAAAAACGUGGGGCUCAACCCCAUACAGCCGUUUAAAGUGGUGAUCUAGAGUGUGCGAGAGGGAUGCGGAAUGCGUGGUGUAGCGGUGAAUGCAUAGAUAGCACGCAGAACCCCGAUUGCGAAGGCAGCAUACCGGUGCACAACUGACGCUCAGGCACGAAAGCGUGGGUAUCGAACAGGAUUAGAUACCCUUGUAGUC
rnacentral:rRNA from 1 species